rnacentral:rRNA from 1 species
UACGUAGGGUGCGAGCGUUGUCCGGAAUUAUUGGGCGUAAAGAGCUCGUAGGCGGUGUGUCGCGUCGGCCGUGAAAACCUGCAGCUUAACUGUGGGCUUGCGGUCGAUACGGGCAUCACUGGAGUUCGGCAGGGGAGACUGGAAUUCCUGGUGUAGCGGUGAAAUGCGCAGAUAUCAGGAGGAACACCGGUGGCGAAGGCAGAUCUCUGGGCCGUAACUGACGCUGAGGAGCGAAAGCAUGGGGAGCGAACAGG